AACCUUUUAGCGCGGGACCACAUCCUCAUUCAGAGGUGAGAGGAAGCUAACAUCAGUGGGCAGUGUUUCCUACUGAGCCGCAGGGAAUCCGUGGCUGCCGUCGUGACUCAUUAAAUAGAGGAACUGGCCAGGUGUUUCUAUUUGGAACCAAUCGAUGGCGAGCUUGUACCUGGAGCUGGGGCUACUGUGUCCGCUUGACAACUCGCAGAAACUAUUAGUCUGGUCGGAAGGCUGCCACAGCCUGGCACCCCACACACUCCAUGAACUCUGCUGCCGUCGACACCCGUGAGACACUGGCGUCAACACCUGGCCGUGGACACACCCCCCCGACUAUCAGCCAAAUUGGGAGAACAUCCUGGAAGAAAACCAGCGCUUCCCAUCCAACCUGAUGGAGCUUGAGAGCUGCCCAAAGAUAGUUGUGCCAAGCUGGUGGAAUCGUGUUCACAAGGACUUCAGGCUGUAAUCGCUGCCAAGAGUGUUGGGCCCUUCCUCCACCCCUCAGCAGGGGGAGGCUGCACCAGCUGUACCCCAAUAGGGGCUCUGCUUUCUGGGGAGGCAACUGAAGACAAGAGUCAGCGUGAGAGGUCACAUGGUUCAUGGAGUCAUCAGAACAAGGUCUUCUUAUCUGCUAUGUUUCCGUCUGCAAGCCCAUCUGUCAGUCGGUCUUCUUAGCCCAGGCCAAGUCGUCAGAGCGAGGCUUUUGACCCGUCACUCUCUCAAUCAGACGCUCCAUGUGUCUCCAGAAACCCAGCUGGUCCAGUGGGUAGUUACACCAGCCUGCGGUGGAUGGAACAUGACACCAUAGGAAGAAUAGAUUAAAGCGCUCCUCCAAUGCUGACAACCUUGGCACUUAUUUCAUAGUUCUGGACCUAAAAAGUAUGCCCACGGGUAAAAUCACCCCCAAAUAGACACGGUAGUUUCAGUUUCAGAACAGUUUGGAACACCUACUUUUUAGCUCCAAAAUGCCUGGGGAAGACUGGAGACAAUUUAAUUUGAUGUAGUACGUCUCACAAUACGAACGUCCUGGGUAGUCAGGGUUCAAUCCCGGGCUCGGGCUCUUUCUGUGUGGAGUUUGCAUGUCCUCCCCGUGACUGCCUGGGUUCCCUCCGGGUAGUCCGGCUUCCUCCCACCUCCAAAGACAUGCACCUGGGGAUAGGCCCCUCCCACUUCCAGAGACAUGCACCUGGGGAUAGGUUGAUUGGCAACACUAAUUAGUCCCUAGUGUGUGAAUGUGAGUGUGAAUGUUGUCUGUCUAUCUGUGUUGGCCCUGUGAUGAGGUGGCAACUUGUCCAGGGUGUAGCCCACCUUCCGCCCGAUUGUAGCUGGGAUCGGCACCAGCACCCCCCGUGACCCAAAGGGAAUAAGUGGUAGAAAAGUGAUGGAUGGAUGUCUUUUGGUAGCAUCUUCAUCACAAUGUUUUAGCAAGUAUGGUUGCCAGGGCGGACAGCACAGUGGGGGAAGGGUUAGUGCAUCUGCCUCACAACACGAAGGUCCUGAGCAGUCCUGGGUUCAAUCCCAGGCUCGGGAUCUUUCCGUGUGGAGUUUGCAUAUCUUCCCCGUGACUGCGUGGUUUCCUAGUGUGUGAAUGUGAGUGUGAAUGUUGUCUGUCUAUCUGUGUUGGCCCUGCGAUGAGGUGGCGACUUGUCCAGGGUGUACACCACCUUUCGUCCGAUUGUAGCUGAGAUAGGCGCCAGCAACCCCGAAAGAGAUAAGCGGUAGGAAAUGGAUGGAUGGACCGUUGCAAGUUGUAGCAAUACGACUAAAGAAGAGGUUAGUUAGUCUGCAUACAUUUCCAGUAAAGACCUCUCCAGACAAAUAUGGACUCAUGCAAAAUAAUGAUUCAGACUUCGAAGAAAAAGGGAUUUAGUCGGAGUUUGGAUUGAAAAAAAUUCAAGAACACAAUCCAAAUGCAAUCCUGAAAAGGAAGGAGGAAAGAUUAGGUCAGAACCUGCGGGGGAAAAAAGAGAAAAUAAAGCAGACCCGGUGCUUUAAAAAAACAAGAGAAAUAGAAGGUAAGCUGCUAGUAUUCCAUUUUGUGUCCUCUUCUACUGAUGUUUUCUUCAAGAUGCUUAAGGAAAUGCUGACAGAGCAUGAGGAAACAGACUAUGGAAGAGGAAGAGGAGCAGGGAAAUCUGGAAAUGGUGAUUCUUUUAUCAUACUUUUUUGCUUAUUGUUAGAAUACUGUAGCAAAUAAACACACAUUUAAUUUCA